CAGAAUGCCAGGAGCUGCGUGAGAAGCUUGAAUGCCAGGAGCUGAGCAAGAAAAUUGAGACCAAUGAAAAGAGUCUGAAAUCAGUGAAGCGAAAGGAAUCUAAGAAGAAACCCUCUAAAGACGAGGCUGUGUUCAUUCAUG